AACCCCUGUGACAUACCACUUGUUGCCUCGGCGGAUCAGCCCGCUCCCGGUAAAACGGGACGGCCCGCCAGAGGACCCCUAAACUCUGUUUCUAUAUGUAACUUCUGAGUAAAACCAUAAAUAAAUCAAAACUUUCAACAACGGAUCUCUUGGUUCUGGCAUCGAUGAAGAACGCAGCAAAAUGCGAUAAGUAAUGUGAAUUGCAGAAUUCAGUGAAUCAUCGAAUCUUUGAACGCACAUUGCGCCCGCCAGUAUUCUGGCGGGCAUGCCUGUUCGAGCGUCAUUUCAACCCUCAAGCACAGCUUGGUGUUGGGACUCGCGUUAAUUCGCGUUCCCCAAAUUGAUUGGCGGUCACGUCGAGCUUCCAUAGCGUAGUAGUAAAACCCUCGUUACUGGUAAUCGUCGCGGCCACGCCGUUAAACCCCAACUUCUGAAUGUUGACCUCGGAUCAGGUAGGAAUACCCGCUGAACUUAAGCA
rnacentral:rRNA from 1 species